UACGGAGGGGGCUAGCGUUGUUCGGAAUUACUGGGCGUAAAGCGCACGUAGGCGGCUUUGUAAGUUAGAGGUGAAAGCCCAGGGCUUAACCCUGGAAUUGCCUUUAAGACUGCAUCGCUAGAAUCGUGGAGGGGUGAGUGGAAUUCCGAGUGUAGAGGUGAAAUUCGUGGAUAUUCGGAAGAACACCAGUGGCGAAGGCGACUCACUGGACACGUAUUGACGCUGAGGUGCGAAAGCGUGGGGAGCAAACAGG
rnacentral:rRNA from 1 species